GAUGAACGCUGGCGGCGUGCCUAAUACAUGCAAGUCGAGCGAAUGGAUUAAGAGCUUGCUCUUAUGAAGUUAGCGGCGGACGGGUGAGUAACACGUGGGUAACCUGCCCAUAAGACUGGGAUAACUCCGGGAAACCGGGGCUAAUACCGGAUAACAUUUUGAACCGCAUGGUUCGAAAUUGAAAGGCGGCUUCGGCUGUCACUUAUGGAUGGACCCGCGUCGCAUUAGCUAGUUGGUGAGGUAACGGCUCACCAAGGCAACGAUGCGUAGCCGAGCUGAGCGGGUGCUCGGCCACACUGGGACUGAGACACGGCCCAGACUCCUACGGGAGGCAGCAGUAGGGAAUCUUCCGCAAUGGACGUAAGUCUGACGGAGCAACGCCGCGUGAGUGAUGAAGGCUUUCGGGUCGUAAAACUCUGUUGUUAGGGAAGAACAAGUGCUAGUUGAAUAAGCUGGCACCUUGACGGUACCUAACCAGAAAGCCACGGCUAACUACGUGCCAGCAGCCGCAGUAA
rnacentral:rRNA from 1 species